rnacentral:rRNA from 1 species
AUUGAACGCUGGCGGCGUGCUUAACACAUGCAAGUCGAACGAGAACGGAAUAUAGCUUGCUAUAUUUGUCAGCUAAGUGGCGCACGGGUGAGUAAUGUAUAGAUAACCUGCCCUUAAGAAAGGAAUAACAGUUGGAAACGACUGCUAAUGCCCUAUAUGCCUUUAAUACAUAAGUAUGCAAGGGAAACGCUUUAGUGCUUAAGGAUGGGUCUGUAUGGUAUCAGCUUGUUGGUGAGGUAAUGGCUCACCAAGGCUAUGACGCCUAACUGGUUUGAGAGGAUGAUCAGUAACACUGGAACUGAGACACGGUCCAGACUCCUACGGGAGGCAGCAGUGGGGAAUAUUGCACAAUGGACGAAAGUCUGAUGCAGCAACGCCGCGUGGAGGAUGACACAUUUCGGUGCGUAAACUCCUUUUAUAUAGGAAGAUAAUGACGGUACUACAUGAAUAAGCACCGGCUGACUCCGUGCCAGCAGCCGCCGUAA